rnacentral:rRNA from 1 species
AGCAGCCGCGGUAAUUCCAGCUCCAAUAGCGUAUAUUAAAGUUGUUGCAGUUAAAAAGCUCGUAGUUGAACUUCGGGAUUUGUCCAUUGGUCAGGCUUAACUGUCUGUACUGGUGUGACGAGUUCCUACCUUCUGAGGAAUUUUCAUGCCAUUAAGUUUUGAUGGGGGGAGGAAUCAGGACUGUUACUUUGAAAAAAUUAGAGUGUUUAAAGCAGGCUAACGUCUGAAUACAUUAGCAUGGAAUAACAAUAUAGGACGGCUGGUCCUAUUUUGUUGGUUUCUAGGAUCACCGUAAUGACUAAUAGGGAUAGUUGGGGGCAUUAGUAUUCAAUUGUCAGAGGUGAAAUUCUUGGAUUUAUUGAAGACUAACUACUGCGAAAGCAUUUGCCAAGGAUGUUUUCAUUAAUCAAGAACGAAAGUUAGGGGAUCGAAGACGAUCAGAUACCGUCGUAGUCUUAACCAUAAACUAUGCCGACUAGGGAUCGGACGAAGUUAAUUUUUAAAUGACUCG